UAGGGAAUCUUCCGCAAUGGGCGAAAGCCUGACGGAGCAACGCCGCGUGAGUGAUGAAGGUCUUCGGAUCGUAAAACUCUGUUAUUAGGGAAGAACAAAUGUGUAAGUAACUAUGCACGUCUUGACGGUACCUAAUCAGAAAGCCACGGCUAACUACGUGCCAGCAGCCGCGGUAAUACGUAGGGGGCAAGCGUUAUCCGGAAUUAUUGGGCGUAAAGCGCGCGUAGGCGGUUUUUUAAGUCUGAUGUGAAAGCCCACGGCUCAACCGUGCAGGGUCAUUGGAAACUGGAAAACUUGAGUGCAGAAGAGGAAAGUGGAAUUCCAUGUGUAGCGGUGAAAUGCGCAGAGAUAUGGAGGAACACCAGUGGCGAAGGCGACUUUCUGGUCUGUAACUGACGCUGAUGUGCGAAAGCGUGUGGAUCAAACAGG
rnacentral:rRNA from 1 species